GUUCUUCAAGCCCCAAAAGUAAGAGAAAGGAAGAAAGAAAACACAAAAAACACUCUCGUGGGCGCAGCCGGAAAUCCCAUCGCCACCGCCACUGCCACUCUCGCUCGGAGAGCUCCGACUCCCACUCUCCAAGCUGCCGAAGCAGAGCCAGGUCUCGGGAGGAAAGGCGUAAAACACGGCGAAGACACUCCCGGCACCAUUCAAAGAUCACGGCAAAGCGAAGCUCCUCUGCAGAGGUUAAGGCCAGCCAAAAAGCCAGCCAAACCCUCCAGCUCUACAGCUUCCUGUCUCCCAAGGAAGUAGUAAGUAUUAUACACUGUGCUG
rnacentral:lncRNA from 14 species